UAAAGGUGGUCAGUUGUCAACUCAACUUCGUACCGUUACUUACAACUUACGUUCAUUUCAAAAUGAAAUUCCAAGUAUUGUUCUUCGUCGCCCUCAUUAUGUUGGCAUCCUUCUCCGAACGAGCCGAUGCUGCCCCAAGAUGGAAGCCGCUGAAGAAGCUUGAGAGCGCAGGCCGCCGACUUUUCCACGUUGCCGAAAGGGUUUUACCCGUUGCACAGGGAUAUGCCGGAUUGUUUAGGGGCUAGGCCGUCUUCGUCAUGUUAUGCAGACUCGGAAUGAAGUACGCACACCAAUAUAUACGUUAUGUUUUAUAUGACAGUACAUCCUUAGUCUUUUAAGUUUUCACUUCUGCUAGUAAUUAGUUAAAAGGGGUAUAAUAAAUCGUAGAAUUAUAACUAUC